UAAUAACUAGAAAAAUUGCAUUUCCUUGCAGAAAAUGCGUGGAAAUGCUGAGUGCUGAAAGCUGAAAAAGCAAUGCUAAACUGCUAAUAAAACAUGGAGAAAGGUAUAAAUGUUAAAGCUGUUGAAGGGGUGAACAGAAAUAUAAGUUGGAUAAUUGAUUAAUUGGUUGAAGGACAAAUAGUAUGAAUAUGCUCUAUAAAAGGAAAUUUUAUUCAUGCUGAAAGAGGCUAGAAAAAUGUCUAAAAUUGCACAAAGUUUGAAUGAAGAAGGAAAUUGCCUUAAAAGGCAGGAAGGUGAGAAGUGGCAUAAGUUUAAAUUGUAGUACUAGAAGUAGUAUGAUAAGAAGUCAAGUCGUGAUACUAGUAGUCAUGUCAGCAGUAGAAGUAGAUUGAGAAUAAAAGAAGUAUAAGUCAAAGUAGUAAAGAAAGUAGAAAUAGGAGCAAUAGCAGUUGAAGUAGAGGGGAAAGUUCUAGUUUAAUUGACAUUAGCAGUAGUUGUCGUACUUGAGGUAGGAUUAUGUUUGAAUGAUGGAGUAAUGCAUAAAUAUUAAAACUAAUUUAAAACAGGGAAAUUUUAAAUUAUCAAAAGUCCUCAAGUAUCAUUAAGUUUUGAAGUAUUAGAAAGGUUUGAAUCAGUUUGAAUGAGUUUAAAUUAGUUUGAAAAAUUAAAUGAUAAAUCAUGACUGACUGACUUUUAAAAUGUGAAAAAUUUAAAUGAAUAACAAUCCUAAAUACACCCAAUAAUGUCCUCAAUGAGCUUAAAUUUCAAAGCCCUGAAUGGUUUCUGUAGGUCAAAGGUCAUGUGAGGAGAUAGGGGCUGAAGUUUUUUCCAACGCUCUAGGAAAGGGUUUUAAGUGUCAUCCCAAUUGCUAUGUGUACUGAGCCUGGCUUCAUGUGUCUCAUAUGGCCACUAGAAGCAGCUUUCCAGUCAGCUGUGUGUCUCCAGGUGCACAAAUUGGUUGCCAUGGGGACCUUGGAUGCAUAACUAUAGCAGGAGAAAGAAGGCUUGAAGCUAAAGAAACAGGACUCCAAGUAGGCCCUGACGCUCACCCUCUGUAUAUAUUCAUAAGGAGCUUGUGAGAACACAAGACUCUGCUGAACACAUUAAUACAAUUUAUUAUCACAAUCCUCAAAACACCCCAUAUUAUCUUCAAUGAGCUGAAUUUUUGAAGCCCAGAAUGGUUUCUGUAGCUCAAAGUUUGUGGGUGGAGAUAGGUGGUGAAGCAGACACAUAUUAACUGUGUGUACAAGCAGCUGAACUGCAAGGUGGACCUCAAAAAGCAACAAGUACAAGAAGGUGUGUGUGCGUGUGUGUGUGUGUGUGUCUCGUUAAUGACUGCAUCCUAAACAGCUGUGAGAUCAAAGGCAAAUCACUAACCUACUGUUUGACUGAGAGGUGCUGAACUGCAGUGAAUUUCAGCCUGUGAACUUCUUCACAUAGCGUGAUUUCCUUAAGUCCCAGAAUGAAAAUAAGAACAUCGUACGAAUCCUCCGUCCUUCAUGAACACAAUGAUGUGUUUUUCAUGUCUGUACUUCGAAAAAUGAGGCCACAACAGCGAGUUAAAAAAGUCUGAGCCUGAGCGAUGAUCCGGAUUUUCUUGGAGAAAAAUAACAUUAUGGUCAAUGGGAGAGAUUUCCGCCUUCCUUGGACAGUUGGUCACCUGCUGGCCAAGGGGUACGAUUUAAUGAUUUGAAACCUCUUUUGUGAGAAGCAGGACACAUAUACCUCCAUUUUGAUGUAUUAUUUAUGGCUCUGGAGUGAGAUUUGUGGGCGUGGGAGCGAUAUAUUCGAGCGAGGUUCUGUCGAUCAGAGACGGGGUCUGCACUCUAGCUUUUCAAAUCCUCACUCUAGCCUCUCCAAUUCACCCCCAUUAUAAAACCUGAAAUUUGCUGAAAACCACAAGUUGCUUAAAGCUAAAUUGUGGAAAAACUGUAAAAGAUAGCACAAAAAGGUUAAUACAACAUCAAUAGUCGACAAGACAAUGAACAUUUUAAAGCAAAAAUGAGGUCUCUAGGUGAAAGUAUGCUGAAGUUAUAAGGCUUAGAAGGUGGACGAAUAACAGGAAGUAUUGGAAGAUUUCCCCAUUCGUUUCUAUGGGAAAAAAAGUUUGGCACAAAAAGUGAAAAAUAAUAAAAAGUACAAAGGAUAGAAAGGAAAAAAAUACAAGCACACAUGUCCUGAUGGAGUGGAAUAGUUUAAAGUUUGAACGGUUGAAAUCGGACAAAGUUUGAAGGAGGAGAAGCGGUCCAAAGAAACGUAUGGGGAGAGUGUUAAGUAUAAUACUAGAAAAAUUGCAUUUCCUUGCAGAAAAUGCGUGGAAAUGCUGAGUGCUGAAAGCUGAAAAAGCAAUGCUAAACUGCUAAUAAAACAUGGAGAAAUGUAUAAAUGUUAAAGCUGUUGAAGGGGUGUGAAAGAAAUGUAAGUUGGAUAAUUGAUUAAUUGGUUGAAGGACAAAUAGUAUGAAUAUGCUCUAUAAAAAGAAAUUUUAUUCAUGCUGAAAGAGGCUAGAAAAAUGUCUAAAAUUGCACAAAGUUUGAAUGAAGAAGGAAAUUGCCUUAAAAGGCAGGAAGGUGAGAAGUGGCAUAAGUUUAAUUUUUGAAGUAUUAGAAAGGUUUGAAUCAGUUUGAAUCAGUUCAAAUUAGUUUGAAAAAUUAAAUGAUAAAUCAUCACUGAGUGACUUUAAAAUGUGAAAAAUCUAAAUGUAUAUAAAUCCUAAAUACACCCCCUAAUGUCCUCAAUGAGCUCAAAUUUUAAAGCCCUGAAUGGUUUCUGUAGGUCAAAGGUCAUGUGAGGAGAUAGGGGCUGAAGUUUUUUCAAGCGCUCUAGUAAAGGGUUUUAAGUGUCAUCCCCAGUGCUAUGUGUGCUGAGCCUAGCUUCAUGUGUCUCAUAUGGCCAUUAGAAGCAGCUUUCCAGUCAGCUGUGUGUCUCCAGGUGCACUAAUUGGUUGCCAUGGGGACCUUGGAUGCAUAACUAUAGCAGGAGAAAGAAGGCUUGAAGCUAAGGAAACAGGACUCCAAGUAGGCCCUGACGCUCAUCCUCUGUAUCUAUUCCUGAUAAGGAGCUUGUGAGAACACAAG
rnacentral:lncRNA from 1 species